GAUGAACGCUGGCGGCGUGCCUAAUACAUGCAAGUCGAGCGAACAGACGAGGAGCUUUCUCCUCUUACGUUAGCGGCGGACGGGUGAGUAACACGUGGAUAACCUCCCUAUAGGACUUGGAUAACUUCGGGAAACCGGAGCUAAUACCGGAUAAUAUAUUGACCUGCAUGGUUCAAUAGUUAAAGACGGUUUUGCUGUCACUUAUAGAUGGAUCCGCGCCGCAUUAGCUAGUUGGUAAGGUAACGGCUUACCAAGGCAACGCUGCGUAGCCGACCUGAGAGGGGGAUGGGGGACACAGGAGGUGAGAGACGCGCCAGAGUCCUACGGGAGGCAGAAGAGGGGAGAAUAACGCAAAGGGGGAAAGAGUGACGGGGAAACGCGGCGUGAGAGAGGAAGGUGUCCGGAGGGUAAAAAUCUGUUACGAGGGAAGAACAAAUGUGUAAGUAACGAGGGACGGUUGGACGGAACCGAAUAAGAAAGCCACGGCUAAUUAGGG
rnacentral:rRNA from 1 species